CCUACGGGAGGCAGCAGUGGGGAAUAUUGCGCAAUGGGCGAAAGCCUGACGCAGCGACGCCGCGUGUGGGAGGAAGCUCUUCGGGGUGUAAACCACUGUCGGAGGGGAAGAACGGCGUCGGUUCGAACAGGACCGGCGAUUGACGGUACCCUCAAAGGAAGCGCCGGCUAACUCCGUGCCAGCAGCCGCGGUAAGACGGAGGGCGCAAGCGUUGUUCGGAAUUACUGGGCGUAAAGCGCGGGCAGGUGGUCUGUUAAGUCGUUUGUGAAAAUCCGGGGCUCAACCCCGUGAAAUGCGUACGAUACUGGCAGGCUGGAGAUCGGUAGAGGCUGGCGGAAUUCCUGGUGUAGCGGUGGAAUGCGUAGAGAUCAGGAAGAACACCCGUGGCGAAGGCGGCUAGCUGGGCCGAGUCUGACACUCAUCCGCGAAAGCGUGGGGAG
rnacentral:rRNA from 1 species